AUUCUUGUGAUAGUGAAUAAGUCUCAUGAGAUCUAGUGGGCUUAUCGGGGGUUCCAUUUUUGCUUCUUCCUCAUUUUCUCUUGCCACCACCACGUAAGAAGUGUCUUUCACCUCCUGCCAUGAUUCUGAAUCCUCCCCAGCCAUGUGGAACUGACUCAGAGGGCCACUCUAUCUAUGAUUCCCUGUGAAAUAUGAUUAUAUUUAUAAGAAAGAAAGAUGUCUUACUUCCUAGCAGGAUAUUGAAUGAUUUCUGAAUUGCAAGAUAUACCACCAUACAUAUGUUGGGAAAAGGAAGAGGAACCAACAAAGAAGACUUAGAAGCAGUGGCCAAUACAACAGGAAAAUAACCGGGGAAAUGUGGAAUCCUGAAAGCCAUAUAAGCAAAUUUAUGCUCAAAGAAGCUGAGACAUUGUUGACUCUGUUCUACCUGCUCCUCUGGUCUGGCUCAACCUUCCCAGUGAUAGCAAGAACAGAGACAACGCCAUCAACAAGCUUCCUGGGUGAUUCCAUUCUUGGCUGCCCAUCAGACACAGAAAUCCAAGGGAGUGAUGCUCCACCCUUUCUUGGCCUAAGGGUUUCCUCCCUACAUGCCUUUUGUUGUUCAUAGAAUAAGCAAUCUAAUGUGGCAAUAAACUUAAAAUCGAUAUUAAAUAAAUUAACUUGGGAAGCAGCAGGACUGUAGGAUCGCCAAGUUAUUAAAUAUGCAUAUUUGAAUUAAUAUAGUCAUAUAAGAUAAUCUAAUUUUCUUUUUUUCUUAAUUACACAAUUUUUAUUCCAUAUGUUUUCAGCUGUCUACACCAACCCCAGACAAAUCCUAAAGUGCUGCCUUGACCAAAUUAGAUAUGUAUCUUCAGUUCUUUGCUUUGCCAUUUAGUUACAAUAUAUGGAAAAUGAGUUUGUAUCCCAGACUACUCUGUACGUGACUGGGUACUUAACCUUCUUUUGUCAAUAACCUUAGUAACUGUUUCUGUUUUAUGCUAAUGAAAUUAUAUUAUGCUUUCAUAAUAAAACUUUUGCAAGUACCCAAAUAUUUACUUCAUUGCAGUAGCUUGUUGAGAGCUACCUAUUAGUGUCCCGCUGACCUGUUUCAUUAUUUUUCCACUUCCUUUAUACAAUUCAUUGUAUUUUGGUGAACAAGUCUGUUUUUCUAAGAUUGUUAAAUCUUAAUUUUAAAAAGCUAAACUAGACUUAGAAAAUAUGAAUACAUUUUGUUGACACGUUCAAUUCUUAUUGUUUUAAUCCAUUUUUGUGGUAAACGUUUGCUGAUUUCUGUUCUUUUAAUCUAUUCCUGUUUCUUUUCUUAACAAGAUUUUCCUCAAUGGUUCAAUCUUUCUUCUGUGCUUGGCCUAUGUCAUUAUAGUACUAUUGAUUCCAGCUAUGAUUUCAGGGGCACUUAUUUGACUCCAGCAUGACCAGUCAGAGUACUGCCUUCUACUGGUCUCAGUAAUUUGUCGAAAGAUGGGAAUGUGACCCAGUCAUAGCUAAUAAAACAUCAUAAGGAUUUUGGCAGACUGCUGGAGAAGAAAAAUGUGUUCUUUUUUACUGGCCAUGAACUUGGAAGGAUAGGACUUUGGAUCUGUUGUAGUUUUCAUGACAUCAUGAUGGAAAAACUGAUCCGAAGAUGGAGCCAUAACAUAGAAAGUAGCAAUGGAUAGGGAAAAAAUAAAUCUCGUUGAUAUAUAUUUAACCUUGGUUCCAACUAUACAAAAAAACUCAUCUAUGUCUUGCAAUUUUUGUUUAUUAACUCAAUGAAUUUAUCUCCCCCACUUUUUUCCUCUCCUUAAUUCAACUUUAUUUGGGUGCUCUUUGAUUUGCAGCUGAUUUAAUGCACACCUGGAGCAAGAGUGCAUGGUACUCAUGACUUAAAUGCUUAAUGGCAUCAGAGCUUAGUACACGGGGGAAAUAACUGAACUAUAAUUUAGUCAAUUUAAUUGACUUCUUGCUAUUUACAAUAUCAGUCAUUGCAAUGUAACUAGGCUCAACUCACAAUUCCAUUGCUAUUUUCCAAUCUGUUCUAGUCUAUGCAUAUACGACAUUAUUUAUAAUAAUAAGAGUAGCCAAUUUUCACUUCCAUUUGCCUUGUAUUUUAUAUAUAUCAGAGCAUUUUCAUAUUCAUUCUCUAAUUUAAUCCACAGACAAUUCAAUGAAUUAGGGCAGGUGGCAUUUACAUUUUACAAAUGAGAACGAUAAGGAAUGUAUAGAUUGCACGGUGUGUCGAAGU
rnacentral:lncRNA from 1 species